CCUUCGGUGGUCUGGGGGUUUAUGAUUCAUCGUGCGGUCUACCAGCCGCAGCCGAUAAGGUCGGGGGUUCGAAUCCCUCCCAAAUGG